rnacentral:misc_RNA from 1 species
AGCAGCCGCGGUAAUUCCAGCUCCAAUAGCGUAUAUUAAAGUUGUUGCAGUUAAAAAGCUCGUAGUUGAAUUUCGGGAUUGGCGCAUCGGUCGUGCCUUACGGGGUAUGAACUGGUGCAGUCAAUUUCUCACCUUCUGGAGAACCGCGAUGUCCUUAAUUGGGUGCCGCGGGGAACCAGGACCUUU